UACGUAGGGUGCGAGCGUUAAUCGGAAUUACUGGGCGUAAAGCGUGCGCAGGCGGUUUUGUAAGCCAGAUGUGAAAUCCCCGGGCUCAACCUGGGAACUGCAUUUGUGACUGCAUCGCUAGAGUACGGUAGAGGGGGAUGGAAUUCCGCGUGUAGCAGUGAAAUGCGUAGAUAUGCGGAGGAACACCGAUGGCGAAGGCAAUCCCCUGGGCCUGCACUGACGCUCAUGCACGAAAGCGUGGGGAGCAAACAGG
rnacentral:rRNA from 1 species